rnacentral:misc_RNA from 1 species
CCAAUAGCAUAUAUUAAAGUUGUUGCAGUUAAAAAGCUCGUAGUUGAAUUUCGGGACCAAUCUGCCGGUCGUGCCUCCGGUACGCACUGGUUUUAUUGGUUUCUCCCUUCUGACGAACCAUGAUGUCAUUAAUUUGGUGUCAUGGGGAAUCAGGACUGUUACUUUGAAAAAAUUAGAGUGUUUAUAGCAGGCUCACGCUUGAAUACAGUAGCAUGGAAUAAUGAAAUAGGACGUUUGACCCUAUUUUGUUGGUUUCUAGGAUCGACGUAAUGAUUAAUAGGGAUAGUUGGGGGCAUUAGUAUUCAAUUGUCAGAGGUGAAAUUCUUGGAUUUAUUGAAGACUAACUACUGCGAAAGCAUUUGCCAAGGAUGUUUUCAUUAAUCAAGAACGAAAGUUAGGGGAUCGAAGACGAUCAGAUACCGUCGUAGUCUUAACCAUAAACUAUGCCGACUAGGGAUCGGAUGAUGUUAUUUUUAAUGACUCAUUCGGCGCCUUACG